AUGAAGGGUCUCUUUAAGCCAAAGCCACGCACACCUAUUGAUAUUGUGCGACAAACCACAGAUCUUCUUCUAUUCUUCGAUCGCAGCAACGAAAUCCGUGAUAGCAAGCGGGAAGAAAAACAAAUGGCUGAGCUGUGUAAAAACAUCAGGGAGCUAAAGUCGAUCCUUUAUGGAAGUAGUGAAUCUGAACCAGUCUCGGAAGCUUGUGCGCAGUUGACUCAGGAGUUCUUUAAGGAGAACACACUGCGACUGCUUAUCAAAUGUAUUCCAAAAUUGAAUUUGGAGGCCAGGAAAGAUGCCACUCAAGUAGUUGCAAAUUUACAAAGGCAACCGGUUCAGUCUAAAUUGAUCGCAUCUGAUUACCUGGAGAAAAACAUGGAUCUUAUGGAUGUUUUGAUAGCUGGCUAUGAAAACACGGAUAUGGCUUUACACUAUGGUGCGAUGCUCAGGGAGUGUAUAAGGCACCAGAUUGUUGCAAAAUAUGUUCUGAACUCACCUCAUAUGAAGAAGUUCUUUGAUUAUAUUCAACUUCCAAAUUUCGACAUUGCUGCAGAUGCUGCAGCAACUUUUAAGGAACUCAUGACCCGUCAUAAAUCUACUGUAGCUGAAUUUCUUUCUAAGAAUUAUGAAUGG